GACCCCAGGAAGUGACCUCACUUCCCUGGCGACAGAGGCCAACGGAACUUGGAAGCUGGGGAGCCGGGCACCUACUGGUCCAGUCCAGGAGAGGACGGAGGAGGGAUGGACUGGCUCUGCUGCAUCCCGCUCUCCCGAGGCCGAGCCGAGGCCGAGGCCGCAGGCGUCGUCACGGCAGAGAUGGCCUCUGCCAAGCCUGCAGAACCUGGAUGAGAACGCGAGGCGGACGCCUAUGGGCCGUUGCCCGCAGGGACCCAGAGAGUCCCCCACCUGAGACCCGCCAGGAACAGGGUGAGGAAGGCAGAAGGCCACCCGAGGAACCUCCACACAGACUGCUCCCCGGGGUCCUCUGCCAGGCUGGUGGGGAGCACAGGAGCACCAGCUGUGGCCAUGAAGACACCGUCCACAUGAGCCUGACAACCCUGGAAGGCCUGGCCCCCCCUGAGGCCCAGCCUGAAGGAGACCUGGCAUCAGAGGCCAAGACCCCAGCCGAGCGGAAAGACCCUGGAGCAGCCCCCAGAGGAGGUCCAGAACCACAGGAGGACUCAGCACCUGGGCAGGGAGGAAAUGUAGCUCCUUCAGAGGGACACUCAUGUCCACAUGGGGACUCACCUCCCGGGGAGAAUGAACACUCUGCUCCUCUCGCAAGAGGCCCAGCUCCUCUUGAGGAGUCACCACCCGGGCAGGGUGGAACCAAGGCGCCUCCUGCAGGAGGACCAGGCCCCCAUGAAGACUCAACUCAUGGGCAGGAUCAACUUGCUGCUCCUCCUGAAGGCAAACCAGAUCCUCCUGAGGUCUCACCUCCCGGGCAGGAUGAAAAUCCGGCUCCACCUCCAGGAGGACGAGGCUCUCAGGAGAACUCUCCAGUCGGGCAGGAUGAAAAUCCGGCCCCUCCAACAGGAGGACGAGGCUCUCAUGCAGAAACACAAGCCCAGCAGGAUGAAAAUCCUGCUCCUCCUACAGGAGGACGAGGCUCUCAGGAGGACUUACCUCCCGGGCAGGAGGAACACCCUGCUCCUCCUCCAGGAGGCUCAGGUCCACAGGAACACUCCCCAGCCCUGCAGGGGGCAUCUGGUGUGGGUCUGGCCGCAUCCCCAGACACUGAUGUGCCUUUCCCUGUGCUGGACGGCAUCGUUGCCCCGGCCUCUGCCAGCGACAAAGGGCCCGAGGAGCAUUCAGCAGCCCUUUUGGGAGCACCUGCCCUGACUGCUCCCGCACCCUCUGGACUACGUCCUGGCCUGGCUCUUUCAAGAACC
rnacentral:lncRNA from 9 species